AUGGCCACCCGUAUCGUCACGGGGCGGACUCUCGUCGCUCUGUUUGGCCUUGUAUGCGCGCAUGUGAGAUACGGGGGUGGUGCUGGUGGGAAGGGGAUCAAGUUCCUGACGCAACUGUGGGGGCAUAGGUAGGUACCUAUGCCCACGUGAAACGGGACUUCGGGGGUGGGGUGGAGUGGGCGGCACGGCGCGGCUAAUGAAGCUCAUAGACAUGCGCGGGGACACAUGCUCAGCAAUAUCCCGCCCAUCUGCUUCCGUGCACACACACGUGCGCUUCAGACCGCCGCGAAAAGGCGCACACAUCGAGACGCAUACACGUACGCAUAGGCGAGAUACACGCCCAUGGGUAGAUGCGCCACACCUGCUUUCGUUUUCCCUCCGCCUCUUUGUCCCUCUCUCGCUUCUCCACCUGACCGCACUCACGGAAACUUGAAAUGCCCACGCUGGCCUGCUCUCUUUAUUUCCCUUCCCUCUCUCUCGCGGAAAUGUGCACACAUAUGUGUCGGUGUGCGUAUCUCGAUAGACGGCUGACGUAUUCGUUUUCUUUUCGUCUCUUCCGUGCUGCCUCCUUAUCGUCUCUCUCCUCAUCCUCUUCGCCGCCCUCCUCUUCUACGAACACCCCUUCAUGGGGGAGCCGGAAAAGGCGUGCGGACUGAGGUGAGUGGCGCAGUGCGUUUACACAUGCGCAUGCAACAUACACAACAGCUC
rnacentral:misc_RNA from 1 species